rnacentral:lncRNA from 10 species
AGGAGGUCCUGGGAUUGUUCUUAGCUGGGCACAUUACUGCCCCCACUCCCACUUCCAAAAUGGAUUCUGUGAAUAAGGAAGACAGGAGAAUGGAUAUCCAAUAGGCAACUAACAAAGUGAAGUGUGAUUACAAUCAAUGAAUAGACUGAAUAUUUUAAUUAAAGUCUAGAAUUGGAGGGCUUAGGUAAGGUGGACUGGAAAACAGGAAGGUUCCACAAAACAGACUUUACUUAAUUUUUUUUUUUUUGAGACAGGGUCUUGCUCUGCUGCUGACACUGGCCUUGAGCUGCUGGUCUCAAGCGAUCCUCCAGCCUCAGCCUCCUGAGUUGGGAUUACAGGCACAAGCCACAGUGCUCGACUUUUUAUUUAAUCUUGUUAGAAGACAAGACAGAAACAUGUCCGUUGUGAAAACAAGCCAGAAAGUGAUCCGCUGCCAGCGACAGGGAGACACACAACUGGUCCUUAUUCUAAAGACCCGACCCAGCCUGGAAUGGGGCCCGGCGAGGAGUUCUUGCGCCGGCCGCGGGGACUGGGCGGUAAUGAGCCGCUAGUCUCGGAAGGUGGUGCUGUUGGGUGUGAGGGGAGAUCCGGCUUGCGCUGAAACAGCGAGCGGCGUGCAAGGAGGAAGCCGCGAUUUCCAAGGCGGAUUCCCUUCGCUGGGACACAACUCUUGAGAAUAAGACUUAUAAGGACUCUGAGAGUUUGAGGCAGAGGCAGAACGGCUCUGGGCUGAGUGAUGGGGAGGAUACCAGCACUCAGCGCGGGUGGCGGGCGCGGGGCCGAGCGCGCGCAUCCAGGGACGCCUUGGGGACGGGACGCGGAGAAAAGUUGCCGGGCGGAGAGAAAGGGUGGCGCUGGAAACCAAAUGGCUUUCAUCCCCUGGAGACAAAGAGGUGCCUUCUUUUGACAACAGCUGCCAGUGACACACACACCAUACGGCGGGGCCGGCGGGGGAGGGGAGCCCGGGAGGAGAGCGUCUAAGGCGGGGACCGGCACUGACUUUCAAUAAUGGGGUGGUUGCCAUGGUGACGGGCCAGGCAUCUAAAGGGGCGGCUGAAAGCACCCAUUGUUCUGGGGCCCGGCUGCUCGGGUUGUGCCUGUUCCUAAGAGACACCUUUAGACACCUCCCUCCGUGCAGGGGCGAGCUGCGGCCCGGGGCUGGGAGCGUCUCCGCGGGAGUUUCACACCAGGGCCCCAGGCCGCAGAUCGCAGCGCCGCCUUGGCUGCACGCGCGCUGCAUACGGAGGGCAGCGCCGCCUCCCACGCACUAUCCGCCCGAAAUCCGAGCGCGACGCGCGCCCGCCUGGGCCCAGACGCGCAGGCCGGGACACGCAGCUCCGCCUGCUCCCCGCUGUCCCGGGGAGACUUCGAAUAACAAUGCGGAGCAGGACCCGGUGACUCCACAAAUAACUCGCUGAGGUCUGGGGCGAGGGCACUCGGGAAAACCCCGCAGUCACUUUGCAGUCGUGCUGGAAGGAAAAGCAGAACGGAAUCACAGGAUAAAGAAGAUUAAAAGUAACAGGGCAGCGUUGCAAUGUUGCUUGUAAGAGCAAGCAGCUGGAAACAACCUAAAAGCCCGUCCCUGGGGGCUGGGUGAAUGAUAUGGGGCGCAUCCCUCUGAGGGAACACUAAGCUGCCAUUAAAGAGUACAGGGCAGCUGUAUUUGCUGAGACGUGGAAAUUUUCCGGUGUAUUCUAAGUAAUAAAGUGCAGAAGAGUGUGAGUAGGGCUGUGUGUAUGUGGUAUGUGUGUUUGCAUCUCUGGAAGUGGUUGCUUCUUAGGAUGGUCACUGUGGGACUAGGAGUGGAGGAGAGAAAGAAAACUUGCUUUUCACCGUACUAGAAUCUUCUGCACCUUUUGAAUUUUGCCGUUUAUACUAUGUCUUUACCUGUAAAGAAAAAAGAACUUUGAAAUAAAGUUGCAUUUGCUUGAACACUGUCUAAUGAGAUGUGCCACUCUCCAUAAAGCAUCUGAACUCAUUUUUAGUGCUUUAAUAAAUAUUAAUUUUUAAAAUAUAUAUGCACAAAUGCUAUUAGCCCACAGAUAUGUAAAGGUAGUGACAGUGGCAAGUUAGAGAUGAAAAGAUACACUUCUUUCCUGCCUUCCUGUGGUGCCGAGACGGACGGAGCCAGCUGUCAUUCAAGGAGCCUGCUGUAUAACCCAUCUAUUAUUAUAUCACAUUAAUCAUAGGGAUCUCACAUUAAACAAACAUGACAUUAGGGAAAUUUUCCUAGUUACAAAAUGGUAUAUAAUCAGUGAAAUGGACUAUUGAACACCAAAUGUCAUAGAUUUUUUUUUUUUUUUUGAGACGAGUCAAGCUCUGUUACCCAGGCUGCAGUGCAGUGGUGCGAUCUCGGCUCACUGCAAGCUCCGCCUCCCUGGUUCAAGUGAUUUUGCUGCCUCAGCCUCCG